UUUUAAUUUGGACUUAACUUAGACUUAGGCUUCGUUUGGGAUUGCGGGGAGAUUGCGUUACGUGCGGUGAGAAAGUACGUUGGAAAAAUAUCAUGUUUGUUUCCGUACGUAAUAUUGCGUUCCGCAUAUCGUUACGAUAUAUUUUCUGCGGUCCCACCGGAGAACGCAGAAGCAUAUCCCUAUAUGCUUUUUCCUCAAUUCCAUUUUAUCUAAUAGCGUACAUUAAAUUAAUAGACCUCAAUACCAAACUAAGCUUUAUACUGUUAGUUCAAUUAAACAUCUUAAUAGACCUCAAUACCAAACUAAGCUUUAUACUGUUAGUUCAAUUAAACAUCUUAAUGGAGUUGCAUUUUACAGA
rnacentral:lncRNA from 1 species